UCCAAUGAGCUUAGAGUUAGACCCAGCGACAAUGGGUCAGCAAACUGCUAACGUUAGACCUAGCCCGCUGUUUAGCUCAUUCUCUGUAACCGAUGCAUCAUGAUAGCCUGGAGG